ACAGAGGUGGCAAGCGUUGUUCGGAAUUACUGGGCGUAAAGAGUCUGUAGGUGGUUUGUCAAGUCUUUGGUGAAAGGCCGUAGCUUAACUAUGGGAAUGCCAAAGAGACUGGCAGGCUGGAGGCUGGGAGAGGGAAGCGGAAUUUCUGGUGUAGCGGUGAAAUGCGUAGAUAUCAGAAGGAAGGCCGGUGGCGAAGGCGGCUUCCUGGAACAGUCCUGACACUGAGAGACGAAAGCGUGGGGAGCAAACAGGAUUAGAUACCCUGGUAGUCCACGCCCUAAACGAUGGGUACUAAGUGUGGAGGGGUUAAACCCUCCGUGCCGCAGCAAACGCAGUAAGUACCCCGCCUGGGGAGUACGGCCGCAAGGUUG
rnacentral:rRNA from 1 species